AUCUGAUACUUGUUCCUUUCACCAUUAUUAACCUUUUUGGAUUCAUUACAUUACCUUGAGCAAACUUAAUACUUCAAGUAAAUAACUACCACUAUAAUACGGUAACGACUACAAACAAUUCAAAAUAAAGCGGGAGAUCAUACUUUGUUAGACACUCCCUUAUCAGUAAGGGUCACAUACACACACACACAGCUUCAUACCAAACUAUUCUCACCGAAACCAAAAAAACUUGGUUUUA
rnacentral:lncRNA from 1 species